rnacentral:SRP_RNA from 1 species
CGCCAGGUCCCACGCAAUAGAACACCGCCGAACCCCGCCAGGUCCGGAAGGAAGCAACGGUAGGUGGUGCGUCUAUGUGCCGUGGGGGUGCCUGGCGUUA